GACGAACGCUGGCGGCGUGCUUAACACAUGCAAGUCGAACGGUGAAGGGACUGGUUUUGCUGGUCCUGGAUGAGUGGCGAACGGGUGAGUAACACGUGAGUAACCUGCCCCCUUCUUCUGGAUAACCGCAUGAAAGUGUGGCUAAUACGGGAUAUUCUGGGUCUGUCGCAUGGUGGGCCUGGGAAAGAUUGCGCCUUUUUUGGUGUUUUUGGUGGGGGAUGGGCUCGCGGCCUAUCAGCUUGUUGGUGGGGUGAUGGCCUACCAAGGCGGUGACGGGUAGCCGGCCUGAGAGGGUGGGCGGACACACUGGGACAGAGACACGGCACAGACUCCUACGGGAGGCAGCAGUGGGGAAUAUUGCAAAAUGGGCGCAAGCCUGAUGCAGCGACGCCGCGUGAGGGAUGGAGGCCUUCGGGUUGUGAACCUCUUUCGCCAGUGAAGCAGGCCUGCCUCUUUUUGUGGGUGGGUUGACGGUAGCUGGAUAAGAAGCGCCGGCUAACUACGUG
rnacentral:rRNA from 1 species